AUGGCGGCCGUCGGCAGGCUGCCGAGCGCGGUGGUGGCCCUGCUGCUCGCGCUGCUCUGCCUGGCGGGGACGUCGGUGGCGACCAACGUGACGUACGACCACCGCGCGCUGGUCAUCGACGGCGUGCGCCGCGUGCUCGUCUCCGGCUCCAUCCACUACCCGCGGAGCACCCCCGACAUGUGGCCGGGGCUGAUGCAGAAGGCCAAGGACGGCGGCCUGGACAUGGUGGAGACGUACGUCUUCUGGGACGUCCACGAGCCCGUCCGGGGACAGUACGACUUCGAGGGCAGGAAUGACCUGGUGAGGUUCGUCAAGGCCGCCGCCGACGCCGGGCUCUACGUGCACCUCAGGAUCGGCCCCUACGUCUGCGCCGAGUGGAACUACGGAGGCUUCCCGCUAUGGCUGCACUUCAUCCCGGGGAUCAAGUUCCGCACCGACAACGAGCCUUUCAAGACGGAGAUGCAGCGGUUCACGGAGAAGGUGGUGGCGACGAUGAAGGGCGCGGGGCUGUACGCGUCGCAGGGCGGGCCCAUCAUCCUGUCGCAGAUCGAGAACGAGUACGGCAACAUCGACGCGUCCUACGGCGCGCCCGGGAAGUCGUACAUCCGCUGGGCCGCCGGGAUGGCCGUCGCGCUCGACACCGGCGUGCCCUGGGUCAUGUGCCAGCAGGCCGACACGCCGGCGCCCCUGAUCAACACGUGCAACGGGUUCUACUGCGACCAGUUCACGCCGAGCCUGUCCAGCAGGCCCAAGCUGUGGACGGAGAACUGGAGCGGCUGGUUCCUCUCCUUCGGUGGCGCCGUGCCCUACCGCCCCACCGAGGACCUCGCCUUCGCCGUCGCGCGCUUCUACCAGCGCGGUGGCACCCUGCAGAACUACUACAUGUACCACGGCGGGACCAACUUCGGCCGCAGCUCGGGAGGGCCGUUCAUCUCCACGAGCUACGACUACGACGCCCCCAUCGACGAGUACGGGCUAGUGAGGCAGCCAAAGUGGGGCCACUUGAGGGAUGUCCAUAAGGCGAUAAAGAUGUGCGAGCCUGCACUCAUAGCAACUGAUCCAUCAUACAUGUCCCUUGGUCAAAAUGCUGAGGCACACGUAUACAAGGCCGGUUCAUUGUGUGCGGCAUUCCUCGCGAAUAUAGACAAUCAGUCUGACAAGACUGUCACCUUCAACGGCAAGGCGUAUAAACUCCCUGCGUGGUCCGUCAGCAUCCUUCCUGACUGCAAGAAUGUGGUGCUGAACACUGCCCAGAUCAACUCUCAGGUAGCAUCUACACAGAUGAGAAACCUGGGGUUCAGCACUCAAGCAUCUGACGGCUCGUCCGUCGAAGCAGAACUCGCUUCUUCUACCUGGAGCUACGCCGUUGAGCCUGUUGGUAUCACAAAGGAGAAUGCCAUGACAAAGCCUGGGCUGAUGGAGCAGAUAAACACCACCGCGGACGCCAGCGAUUUCCUGUGGUACUCAACAAGCAUCAUCGUGGCGGGUGAUGAACCGUAUCUGAAUGGUAGUCAGUCCAAUCUGCUUGUCAACUCACUUGGGCAUGUUCUUCAGGUCUUCGUCAAUGGCAAGUUUGCAGGUAGCAGUAAGGGUAGUGCUACGAGCUCCCUGAUCUCAUUGACAACACCAGUUACACUUGUACCUGGAAAGAAUAAAAUAGAUCUUCUGAGUGCGACAGUUGGUCUGACGAACUAUGGUGCAUUCUUUGACCUAGUUGGUGCUGGAAUUACCGGUCCAGUAAAGCUGACUGGACCGAAGGGUACGCUUGAUCUAUCUUCUGCGGAUUGGACAUACCAGUAUUGUUGCCUUUUUCCUUAUCAAAAUAUUUGGUCACUCCAGAUUGGACUCAGAGGAGAAGACUUGCACCUGUAUAAUCCUUCAGAGGCCUCUCCAGAAUGGGUAUCAGAUAACUCUUACCCAACCAAUAACCCUUUGACCUGGUACAAGAGCAAAUUUACAACUCCUGCAGGCGAUGAUCCUGUUGCCAUAGACUUCACAGGAAUGGGGAAAGGUGAGGCGUGGGUGAACGGGCAGAGCAUUGGUCGGUACUGGCCAACAAAUAUUGCUCCACAAAGUGGCUGUGUUAAUUCAUGCAACUACAGAGGACCUUACAGCGCAAGCAAAUGCCAGAAGAAAUGUGGACAGCCAUCGCAGAUUUUGUAUCAUGUGCCCCGUUCGUUUCUCCAACCAGGCAGCAAUGAUAUAGUCCUUUUCGAGCAGUUUGGUGGUGACCCAAGCAAGAUAUCCUUCACGACAAAACAGACAGAAAGCGUAUGCGCACACGUGUCUGAGGAUCAUCCCGACCAAAUCGAUAGCUGGAUCUCUCCCCAGCAGAAAUUACAGAGGUCUGGGCCAGCACUUCGUCUGGAAUGCCCCAAAGAAGGUCAGGUCAUCAGCAGUAUCAAGUUUGCAAGCUUCGGGACACCGAGUGGCACCUGUGGGAGCUACAGCCAUGGCGAAUGCAGCAGCUCUCAGGCUCUGGCAGUCGCUCAGGAGGCAUGCGUUGGGGUGAGCAGUUGCAGUGUGCCGGUGUCAGCAAAGAACUUCGGAGAUCCAUGCAGAGGAGUCACAAAAAGCCUUGUGGUCGAAGCUGCAUGCUCAUGA
rnacentral:rRNA from 1 species